UUAAGUCGGGGUCAGGGCAGGCUCUCUGAAGAGGUGAUGUCUGAGUAAAAAUCUGAAGGAAGUAAGGAGGAAGCCAUGUGGAGAUUUAGGAGAGGAGAUCAGGCUGUGGGAACUGCGGGUGCAAAGACUCUGGGGUCAGAAUAUGCCAGGAACAGUGAGGAAGCCAGAAGGGCUGGAGAAAAUAGUGAGGAGGAGAUGGGUGGAGAAUGUAGGGCCUGUGGGUCAUGGGGAGGACUUUGACUUUUGCUCUCAGGGAGGUGGGAGCUACAGAGGAUUCUUGAGCAGAGGAGGAUCGGUGCCUGACUCAGGUGUUCCAGGGUGCCCUCUGGAUGCUGUGGGGGCGACAGCUUGUGAGAACUGGAAGAUCAGGGCAGAGCCAGCUGCCACAUUGUGAGCUGCCCUAUGGAGAGGCCACCUCCUUAAGAGCAAGUAAGGAAUUCAAAACUUCCAACAACACACAGCCAAUGUUUGGAUAGAAGCCUGUGAAGGGACCUGAAGCAGAGAACCCAAUGAAGCCAUUCCCGGUUCCUGACCUACCGAAACAGAAACUUUCCAGCCCUGGAAUUCACCUAAGGAGGCCACCAACACCACAGGAGAGGACUCAGAUGUCAGCUGCCACAUCGGAGUCUGGGUAUGCUCAGUCCUGCUGCAGUAACAAGUGAGCUCCAAAUCUCAGGGACCUAAAACAUCAGAGAUUCCACUUCUCACUUGGCACAUUGUAGGUUGCCAGAGCCGAAGGACAAGAAAACACACAGUGGCUUACACCAGCUCUUCAAGUUGCCGCCUGCACAUGACCAGUGUCAUAACCGCUCACAUCUCAUUGGCCAACACAAGUCUCACAGCCACACAAGCAAGAGCUGGAGUGGUAGUGACCGACCCGACGGCCAUUAGCCAGCAGGCUAAGAGCGCAUUAGGUACAUUUAUACUGUUGUUUAACCAUCCCUGCCCUCCGUCUCCAGAACUUGUUUCUUUCUUUCUUUUUAAAUUUUGACAUGUGUUACAUGCUUGUAACCAUGACCCAGAUCAGACUAUCAAACAUUCUCACUCAUUUUUCUCCCCUUCCCCUGGGCCCCCCAUCCCCUUACCUCCAGCCCCUGUUUUUGUUUUGUUUGCUCAUUUCAUUUUUUCAAAUUCUACACAUAAGUGAAAUCCUAUGG